rnacentral:rRNA from 1 species
GUACGGACGGGUGAGUACGCGUAAGAAUCUGCCUCAUAGUGGGGGACAACGUGGGGAAACCCACGCUAAUACCGCAUACGCCCUACGGGGGAAAGCGGGGGAUCUUCGGACCUCGCGCUAUGAGAUGAGCCUGCGUUAGAUUAGCUAGUUGGUAGGGUAAAGGCCUACCAAGGCGACGAUCUAUAGCUGGUCUGAGAGGACGAUCAGCCACACUGGGACUGAGACACGGCCCAGACUCCUACGGGAGGCAGCAGUGGGGAAUAUUGGACAAUGGGCGAAAGCCUGAUCCAGCAAUACCGCGUGUGUGAAGAAGGCCUUAGGGUUGUAAAGCACUUUCAAUUGGGAGGAAAACCUGCCGGUCAAUACCCGGUAGCUUGACAUUACCUUUAGAAGAAGCACCGGCUAACUCCGUGCCAGCAGCCGCGGUAAUACGGAGGGUGCGAGCGUUAAUCGGAAUUACUGGGCGUAAAGCGUGCGUAGGCGGUUCGUUAAGUCAGAUGUGAAAGCCCUGGGCUCAACCUGGGAACUGCAUUUGAAACUGGCGGACUAGAGUUUAGUAGAGGGGAGUGGAAUUUCAGGUGUAGCGGUGAAAUGCGUAGAUAUCUGAAGGAACACCAGUGGCGAAGGCGACUCCCUGGACUAGAACUGACGCUGAGGUACGAAAGCGUGGGUAGCAAACAGGAUUAGAUACCCUGGUAGUCCACGCCGUAAACGAUGUCGACUAGCCGUUGGUCCUAUUUACAGGAUUAGUGGCGCAGCUAACGCAUUAAGUCGACCGCCUGGGGAGUACGGCCGCAAGGUUAAAACUCAAAUGAAUUGACGGGGGCCCGCACAAGCGGUGGAGCAUGUGGUUUAAUUCG